GGGGAUGUAGCUCAACUGGUAGAGCAUGAAAAUACGCAUGAUUCAAGGUAUGGGGUUCAACUCCUCACAUCUCCA
rfam:Sorghum bicolor cultivar BTx623 chromosome 8, whole genome shotgun sequence.